rnacentral:rRNA from 1 species
UACGUAGGGGGCAAGCGUUGUCCGGAUUUAUUGGGCGUAAAGAGCGUGUAGGCGGCCAGGUAGGUCGGUUGUGAAAACUGGAGGCUCAACCUUCAGAGGUCGACCGAAACCAUCUGGCUAGAGUCCGGGAGAGGAGAGUGGAAUUCCUGGUGUAGCGGUGAAAUGCGCAGAGUAUCAGGAAGAACACCCGUGGCGAAAGCGGCUCUCUGGAACGGUACUGACGCUGAGACGCGAAAGCGUGGGGAGCGAACAGG